rnacentral:misc_RNA from 1 species
GAAUCGCUAGUAAUCGCGAAUCAGCAUGUCGCGGUGAAUACGUUCCCGGGCCUUGUACACACCGCCCGUCACACCAUGAGAGUUUGUAACACCCAAAGCCGGUGGGGUAACCGCAAGGAGCCAGCCGUCUAAGGUGGGACAGAUGAUUGGGGUGAAGUCGUAACAAGGUAGCCGUAGGAGAACCUGCGGCUGGAUCACCUCCUUUCUAAGGAAUAAUUACGGAACCUGUACAUUUAUCGAAUACUUUGUUUAGUUUUGAGAGGUCAUAUCUCUCAAGAUUUUGUUCUUUGAAAACUAGAUAUU